rnacentral:rRNA from 1 species
UACGUAGGGGCCGAGCGUUGUCCGGAGUUACUGGGCGUAAAGCGCUCGCAGGCGGCUCGUCAAGCCUGACGUGAAAGCCCCCGGCUCAACCGGGGAGGGUCGUCGGGGACUGGCGGGCUUGAGGUCGGCAGGGGUUGGUGGAAUUCCCGGUGUAGUGGUGAAAUGCGUAGAGAUCGGGAGGAACACCCGUGGCGAAGGCGGCCAACUGGGCCGGACCUGACGCUGAGGCGCGAAGGCGUGGGGAGCGAACGGG